CUCAUACUCCAUCUGUCCGAAAAUACUUGUCAUCAAAACGAAUAAAAGAGAAUGUAUCUAGAUGUAUUUUAGUUUUAGAUAUAUAUUUUUUUGUCUAUUUUGAUGAUAAAUAUUUUCGGACGAAGGGAGUACUAG
rfam:Triticum aestivum genome assembly, contig: Triticum_aestivum_CS42_TGACv1_scaffold_093051_2AL